rnacentral:rRNA from 1 species
AUUGAACGCUGGCGGCAGGCCUAACACAUGCAAGUCGAGCGGAUGAAGGGAGCUUGCUCCUGGAUUCAGCGGCGGACGGGUGAGUAAUGCCUAGGAAUCUGCCUGGUAGUGGGGGAUAACGUCCGGAAACGGGCGCUAAUACCGCAUACGUCCUGAGGGCGAACGUGGGGGAUCUUCGGACCUCACGCUAUCAGAUGAGCCUAGGUCGGAUUAGCUAGUUGGUGGGGUAAAGGCCUACCAAGGCGACGAUCCGUAACUGGUCUGAGAGGAUGAUCAGUCACACUGGAACUGAGACACGGUCCAGACUCCUACGGGAGGCAGCAGUGGGGAAUAUUGGACAAUGGGCGAAAGCCUGAUCCAGCCAUGCCGCGUGUGUGAAGAAGGUCUUCGGAUUGUAAAGCACUUUAAGUUGGGAGGAAGAGCAGUAAGUUAAUACCUUGCUGUUUUGACGUUACCAACAGAAUAAGCACCGGCUAACUUCGUG